rnacentral:rRNA from 1 species
AAUAAUUUUAAAGAUAUAAUAUAAUUUAUAAAUUAAUAAAACAUUUAUUUAUUAGUAAAGGUGAUUAAAAAUACUAUUUAAAGUAAAGUACUGUAAAGGAAUAUAUAAAAUUUUUAUUAAGUAGUAUAUUUUAC